GUGGGUCAUUUGGAAGGAUAACAUUUGCCUGAGAGAUGAUGAAGAAAUUGAAGUCUACCAAAGGUUCUGAUCACUUCAAUUUGCAUUACUCCAUGUUAGUCUUUCCAGGUUUUUUGGUGAUCAUCUUGUCAUUUCUUAUGGCCCAAUGUUUCCUCUUAGAUAAAAUCACCUGGAGAGAAAGAUGGCAAACCAUACCAUUAUCUGCCAAGAAAAAUCCAAAUGGGCUCACAAAGACUGAACAACAACACAUGCCAGUUGAAGAAACUGAGGUCCAGAGAGGUGAAAUGGUUGUCAGAAAGAGAAGGGAAGGAGAAGGAAAGGCAAGAAGAAAAGAAGGAAAGAUUUCUUCCACCAGAGACUCUGGUAUACCAUGUGCAUCCUCUUCUGAAGCAGGAAACCAGAAGAAUGUUUAUCUCCUCUCAAGUUCUCAUGCCAAUUCUGUCUUUUACUUGGGAUAA
ensembl:lncRNA